rnacentral:piRNA from 1 species
UGCCAAUGUUCAGCCUGUGAU